AUACGGAGGGGGCUAGCGUUGUUCGGAAUUACUGGGCGUAAAGCGCACGUAGGCGGAUUAAAAAGUUAGAGGUGAAAUCCCAGGGCUUAACCCUGGAACUGCCUUUAAAACUAGUAGUCUAGAGUUCGAGAGAGGUGAGUGGAAUUCCAAGUGUAGAGGUGAAAUUCGUAGAAAUUUGGAGGAACACCAGUGGCGAAGGCGGCUCACUGGCUCGAUACUGACGCUGAGGUGCGAAAGCGUGGGGAGCAAACAGGAUUAGAAACCCCAGUAGUCC
rnacentral:rRNA from 1 species